GACGAACGCUGGCGGCGUGCUUAACACAUGCAAGUCGAACGGUGAAGGGACCGGUUUUUGCUGGUUCUGGAUGAGUGGCGAACGGGUGAGUAACACGUGAGUAACCUGCCCCCUUCUUCUGGAUAACCGCAUGAAAGUGUGGCUAAUACGGGAUAUUCUGCGCCUGCGGCGUGGUGGGUGUGGGAAAGAUAUUGUUUCGGUGGGGGAUGGGCUCGCGGCCUAUCAGCUGGUUGGUGGGGUGAUGGCCUACCAAGGCGGUGACGGGUAGCCGGCCUGAGAGGGUGGACGGCCAUACUGGGACUGAGACACGGCCCAGACUCCGACGGGAGGCAGCAGUGGGGAGUAGUGCACAAUGGGCGAAAGCCUGAUGCAGCGACGCCGCGUGAGGGAUGGAGGCCUUCGGGUUGUAAACCUCUUUCGCCAGUGAAGCAGGCCUGUCCCUUUUGUGGGUGGGUUGACGGUAGCUGGAGAAGAAGCGCCGGCUAACUACGUG
rnacentral:rRNA from 1 species